rnacentral:rRNA from 1 species
AGCGGCGGAUGGGUGAGUAACACGUGGGGAACCUGCCCCUAAGUCUGGGAUACCAUUUGGAAACAGGUGCUAAUACCGGAUAAUAAAGCAGAUCGCAUGAUCAGCUUUUGAAAGGCGGCGUAAGCUGUCGCUAAGGGAUGGCCCCGCGGUGCAUUAGCUAGUUGGUAAGGUAACGGCUUACCAAGGCGACGAUGCAUAGCCGAGUUGAGAGACUGAUCGGCCACAUUGGGACUGAGACACGGCCCAAACUCCUACGGGAGGCAGCAGUAGGGAAUCUUCCACAAUGGACGCAAGUCUGAUGGAGCAACGCCGCGUGAGUGAAGAAGGUUUUCGGAUCGUAAAGCUCUGUUGUUGGUGAAGAAGGAUAGAGGUAGUAACUGGCCUUUAUUUGACGGUAAUCAACCAGAAAGUCACGGCUAACUACGUGCCAGCAGCCGCGGUAAUACGUAGGUGGCAAGCGCUGUCCGGAUUUAUUGGGCGUAAAGCGAGCGCAGGCGGAAAAAUAAGUCUAAUGUGAAAGCCCUCGGCUUAACCGAGGAACUGCAUCGGAAACUGUUUUUCUUGAGUGCAGAAGAGGAGAGUGGAACUCCAUGUGUAGCGGUGGAAUGCGUAGAUAUAUGGAAGAACACCAGUGGCGAAAGGCGGCUCUCUGGUCUGCAACUGACGCUGAGGCUCGAAAGCAUGGGUAGCGAACAGGAUUAGAUACCCUGGUAGUCCAUGCCGUAAACGAUGAGUGCUAAGUGU